rnacentral:rRNA from 1 species
UCGACGGAGAGUUUGAUCCUGGCUCAGGACGAACGCUGGCGGCGUGCCUAAUACAUGCAAGUCGAACGAGGCCGACCUUCGGGUCAUAUGGUCAAGUGGCGAACGGGUGAGUAACACGUGAGAAACCUGCCCCAAAGAUCGGGAUAACCCGGGGAAACCCGGACUAAUACCGAAUAUCCCCAUCGGAUCGCAUGGUCUGAUGAGGAAAUGCUUUUGUGCUUUGGGAGGGUCUCGCGGCCUAUCAGCUAGUUGGUGAGGUAACGGCUCACCAAGGCAUCGACGGGUAGCUGGUCUGAGAGGACGAUCAGCCACACUGGGACUGAGACACGGCCCAGACUCCUACGGGAGGCAGCAGUAGGGAAUCUUGCGCAAUGGGCGAAAGCCUGACGCAGCGACACCGUGUGAAGGAUGAAGGUCUUCGGAUCGUAAAGCUCUGUCAGCCUGGAUGAAAAAUUAUGCACUAACACUGUGUAAUUUUGACGGUACAGGCAGAGGAAGCCACGGCUAACUCCGUGCCAGCAGCCGCGGUAAUACGUAGGUGGCAAACGUUGUCCGAAAUUACUGGGCGUAAAGGGCGAGCAGGCGGUUUUAUAAGUCGGAUGUGAAAUCCUACGGCUCAACCGUAGAACUGCAUUCGAUACUGUAUGACUUGAGUACUGGAGAGGAAAGC